UACGUAGGGUCCAAGCGUUGUCCGGAUUUAUUGGGCGUAAAGAGCUCGUAGGCGGUUCCGUAAGUCGGAUGUGAAAACCUCGGGGCUCAACCCCGAGACGCCAUCGAUACUGCGGUGACUUGAGUCUGGUAGGGGAACACGGAAUUCCUGGUGUAGCGGUGAAAUGCGCAGAUAUCGGGAGGAACACCUAUGGCGAAGGCAGCUCGCUGGGACGUUACUGACGCUGGAGACGCGAAAGCCGUGGGGAGCAAACAGG
rnacentral:rRNA from 1 species